rnacentral:rRNA from 1 species
ACAUGCUUACAACAUAGUGUUAAUGCAUCAUAUCCCAUUAGAACUCUGCAUUUAAGCGUGUUGGGGAUAGAGUAGUACUGGAAUGGGUCACCACCCAGGAAGUAUUAGUAUUUUACAUGCC